rnacentral:tRNA from 1 species
GGGAUUAAGGUGUUAGCGGCAGCAUUACCGGCUCUUAACCGGUCAGGUCAGGGUUCGAGUCCCUGUGGUCCCA